UGGGGUGGGAACAGGUGCGGGGCUGCGUCCGCCCCCGCCUGCAUGCCAGAGUGAGGCAGGCCUGGCCCCGUGUGAGACGAGCCUUUCCUUCUGCAAACCCAGUUAUCCCCUCGGUUGUCUCUGCAGCCAGGCACUGUCCGUCCCGGGACCUACGCAGCUGCCAUGGAAGCUCCGGGUUUCGCAGGAGACUGGAAUAAGAUCGGAAUAAUUCCAACAGAUGCUCCAACCAUCCCUCAUGGACCACACGCACUCUUGGAUGCUGAAGAGCAGGCUGGGGUCUGGGGCAGCCUUUAGGGGCUCUUGGGACCCCAAAGGUGUCCAGCUUGGAUGUCUCCAGCAGAUCUUUCUGGAAAUCUGGGACACCAAGGAGGAGCACAAAUGCUGGUCUUACUACUAAGCAAUAUGUCCCUCGGAUCCAAAGGAGAGCAGGUGACCUGGGUGCAGCCACAGCCAGCUGCCACCUCCCUGGAGUCCCUCAUGAAGCAAUGCAUUCAGGGCAGAAUCCAUUGCUGCCUCAGCCCCCUUCAAAGACCAGGCCCAACACCGCACCAGCUCCUUGGACACUGCCCAUCUUCCCAGGGAGAGUCUCGUGCUCAGAGAGGCUAUAAAUAUACGCCGGACAGUCAAGAGUUUCCGUCGCCAACAGAAGAGCUGAGCAAAAGGUGAAAUAAACAUCCCGUGGCUGCAAAUUAAUUGAUUUUUAUCUUGCCUGAAUUGCUAUUUAAAACUGGUCUGGUGAUUGUGGGGAGUUUCUGAAGGACUCAGCAGGACAGAUGAGGCACACGGGACGUUUUCUGGGCCCCUGCGCAGCUGCGGUGCUUGACUGGGGUAGCUCAGGCUCCGUGAGGAUCUGGACUUCAGACUUGGCCCAGCUGGGUGGCUAAGGACAUGCUACCUCACUUCUCCAAGUCUCAGUUUCCCCACUGUAAAAUAAUAUAAACCUAUCCAGAAUCCACCAGGUUCUGGGGAGAUUUAGGCAAGGAUGUGGGUACCCCCGGAACACUGCCAAGGGCUUUACCUCUGCAAAAGGCUGGGGGUUAUCAGCUGGUGAGGUCUGAACUCAUGGAAUUUUCCUCUCAGUGCAUUUUCUCAUCAGACAUAUUGGGAGGAUAAUGGUCAUUACCUCAGAGACUCGUAAGGAUUAAAUGAGUUAAAUAUGGAAAUGUUUGAAACAGAGUAAAAGCUAAAAAAGUGUUAGUCACCACCG
rnacentral:lncRNA from 1 species